CUGACAUGUAGAGACUAUGAUACCGAUAUGAAAGAAUAGAGGAAGGUGAAAUGAUCUCACUGACUACCAGCUGUAAGCACCCACCUGUCACUGUCACGUCAAAAACACGGAUAGGCAACGAGUCAACCGGACCUACGAAGAUCCACCGGGUUAGUAUCCAACCUACUAACCCAAAGUACACAACUCACAAACCCCACAUAAAUCCCCGUAAUCGGUUUUCCAAAACCGAUCACCGUAACUCGCCGGAAGUCCCGAAAAACACACCGGGACGCCGUCGGGACCGACUAA
rnacentral:lncRNA from 1 species